rnacentral:rRNA from 1 species
AGAGUUUGAUCAUGGCUCAGAACGAACGCUGGCGGCAGGCCUAACACAUGCAAGUCGAGCGCCCGCAAGGGAGCGGCAGACGGGUGAGUAACGCGUGGGAACGUGCCCUUUGGUUCGGAAUAUUCCCGGGAAACUGGGAGCAAAACCGGAUAAGCCCUUCGGGGGAAAGUUUACGCCAAAGGAUCGGCCCGCGUUAGAUUAGGUAGUUGGUGGGGUAACGGCCUACCAAGCCUACGAUCUAUAGCUGAUCUGAGAGGAUGAUCAGCCACACUGGGACUGAGACACGGCCCAGACUCCUACGGGAGGCAGCAGUGGGGAAUCUUGGACAAUGGGCGCAAGCCUGAUCCAGCCAUGCUGCGUGGAUGACUGAAGGCCCUAGGGUUGUAAAGUCCUUUCGACGGGGACGAUAAUGACGGUACCCGUAGAAGAAGCCCCGGCUAACUUCGUGCCAGCAGCCGCGGUAAUACGAAGGGGGCUAGCGUUGUUCGGAUUUACUGGGCGUAAAGGGCGCGUAGGCGGAUUUUUAAGUCGGGGGUGAAAUCCCGGAGCUCAACUCCGGAACUGCCUUCGAUACUGGAAGUCUGGAGCACGGUAGAGGUGAGUGGAAUUCCGAGUGUAGAGGUGAAAUUCGUAGAUAUUCGGAGGAACACCAGUGGCGAAGGCGGCUCACUGGACCGUUGCUGACGCUGAGGCGCGAAAGCGUGGGGAGCAAACAGGAUUAGAUACCCCGGUAGU